AUUGAACGCUGGCGGCAGGCCUAACACAUGCAAGUCGAGCGGAUGAAGGGAGCUUGCUCCUGGAUUCAGCGGCGGACGGGUGAGUAAUGCCUAGGAAUCUGCCUGGUAGUGGGGGAUAACGUCCGGAAACGGGCGCUAAUACCGCAUACGUCCUGAGGGAGAAAGUGGGGGAUCUUCGGACCUCACGCUAUCAGAUGAGCCUAGGUCGGAUUAGCUAGUUGGUGGGGUAAAGGCCUACCAAGGCGACGAUCGGUAACUGGUCUGAGAGGAUGAUCAGUCACAGUGGAACUGAGAAACGGCCAGGAGUCCUGAGGGAGGCAGCAGUGGGGAAUUGUGGACAAGGGGCGAAAGCCUGAUCCAGCCAUGCGGCGUGGGGGAAGAAGGCUUUCGGGUUGUAAACCGCUUUUGUUAGGGAAGAAAAGUUUCUGGCUAAUAACUGGGACUCAUGACGGUACCUGAAGAAUAAGCACCGGCUAACUACGUG
rnacentral:rRNA from 1 species